rnacentral:rRNA from 1 species
GUCUCUGGCCACGCCGCCCUGAACAAGCCCCAUCCCGUCCCAUCUCGGAAGCUAAGCAGGGUCGGGCCCGGUUAGUACUUGGAUGGGAGACCGCCUAGGUGCUGUAGGCGUAAAAAAUA